rnacentral:RNase_P_RNA from 1 species
UGAGCAAACUAAGCAGUCGCGGACGUAAAAUCGAAAGAUUGCGCCCGAGGAAAGUCCGAGCUCCACAGGGCAGGAUAACGGCUAACGGCCGCCGGGGGUGACCCUAGGGAAAGUGCAACAGAAAUAUACCGCCACAUAGUUGUGGUAAGGGUGGAAAGGCGAGGUAAGAGCUCACCAGCAUACGGGAAACUGUAUGGCUCUGCAAACCCUAUCCGGAGCAACACCGCAACAAGACAAGGUCGGGCCCGACGUAAAGGUCUUGUGAAAAAGGUGGCACUGAGCUGUUGCGGCAACGUACAGCCAAGAUAGAUGACUGUUCAAGACAGAACUCGGCUUACAGGUUUGGUCACUAU